AUAUAUGUACAUAUAUGCAUUAUUUUUUAACACUGACACUGACACUGUAUCACAAUCCAGACAUUUAUCAAUCAAAGCACAAACACCGCCCGUCCAAUUAAGUCUAAUAAAUUAUUACAAGAUUCACGAUAAGCGUGGGGUCGACAGGGUCAGAUUCAGAUCCACGUUGUGUAAUGUUUAAUAAAGAUAAGGUGUAAACAAAGGUAGGUGAAUCAGUAUUUAGUGUGAAAUUUAACCGGUGUUAUAAUUUGAUAAAACUUCUGUUUUUACAUAAAACUUUGGUAAUUGUUAUAAAAUCUGUGUAUAAAUUGUAAAUUCUUGGAAAAUUUUAACCGGAGGAGCGACCACUUAAAAUACAGAUUUUUCGGCAAGUCUCUAAUGACCAAAUGGUGCAAUGUUGGCUGGACUGGUGGACCGGACUGGAUCAUCUCCUCGUCUCAUGAAAGAUGAAAAGUCGCUUUAAAUGCAUCCCUAGAUUUUUUGCCAUAAUUAAGUUCAUAGACUUCCAACAGGUGUUACAAUACAAAGAAGACCAGCGAACAUUGCGAUAUUGGUUUCACAAGUUCUCGAUCUCAUCUCAUGUCAAAAUCUGACUUUAACACUUUUAUGUUCAUGGAAUCUAUGCAGACUGGAAUAUCCCCUCCGGUCUGGGUCGUAAUUUAUACGUGGAUUUUACAAUGAUUCUUCAAAAUGUUAUGUAACGUAAUUUGCAAAAUUCAGUCAGAUUAUGCGCAAGCGAAGUUGUCCCUAUCAAACCAACUCGUACGACUAAAAGGAUAAUUUCGCAAUUUUAUAACACACACAACCAACCAGGAUGAUUUUGCAGCAAGUGAGAUUUUUGCAAGUGGGGUUGAAAAACACCCGCCCGCGGUGGUCUUACCCGACUUCUGAUGCCCGAAUCGGAUUCGGAACAUGAGCAUUUUUGCAAUAUGCCAAAAGAUGGGUAUAUUUGAUAGUCAAGUAGGAACUGGAAUUUACUGACUGGACGGAAGAGAAAGUCUGGUAGUUGAAGUUGAAUAGUUAUCAAUUCAGCAAAUUUGCACAUAGAACACAAAAUUGUCUCUUAUCUUUAACUUUAUUUAAGUAAUUACAGAGUUAUAUACAAAGAAAUAA